rnacentral:tRNA from 1 species
GCACCCGUAGCUCAGCUGGAUAGAGCGUUACCCUCCGGAGGUAAAGGUCGUGGGUUCGAAUCCCGCCGGGUGCGCCA